AGUAUUAGUGGUUGUAUAUAUAGUUUAUGUAUAGAUUGGUAAGUAUAGGCUGUGUGUGCUAGGUUAACACACAGCCUUGAACUUGAUGGACUCAAUGAUGGUCUUGAUGGUCUUUUUUCAAUCUAUGUAACCAUGUAAGCUGUGUGGUAAAUCCAUAAAAAUGCACUGUGUGGCAAAUACAAGUUGAAAUGCCUAUGGGUACAAAGCCUUAAUCCUUUAGGCUUAUAUAGGGAAUGUCUUGAGCAGCCUUAAUGUGGUUACACAAAGGAAGAGGAAGAAUUCUGUAUUCUCAGUGCUGUGACAGCAUUCUAGUUAGUUAAGUUAGUUUUUUUGGCUAAGGAUGUAGAUGUUUUAAAGAUAAAUAAUUCUGGUUUCAGGUUCUGGAAUACUCCAGGUAAGUACUAUUUAAUCCUAUUAAGUAAAUUAAAAGCAGAUUUCUUUUCUUUUUUUCAGAGAAAAAUUAUGCUCCUAGGACAGGUUUACUGUGGACAGGGCCGUGACUAGGGGAAGAUAGCAUGGCUCCUGCCUCAGAUGCACGCUCACUGGGCAGAUGGAGACUGCUUGCAUUACCAUACUGCAGAAUCCCCAGAAUAUGAAAAUGCUGAAUUCUUUGUGUCUGUGUCUGUACACCACAGUGUUUGCCGAAGCAAACGUCUCACCUUAAGAUAAAGCAGUCCUACCCCCCUUCACUUUUCAUGCAGCAUCGAGUGAUGGAAACUGGCCUGGCUCUGUUACCAAGGAAACCGCACAGGAGACUGGCUGUUGCCGUGGAAACCAGGAAAGAGCUGAUAUCCAUGACCCAAAAUAAGACAAGAGAAAAACUGCAGAAAAUGAAGGGACUUGAGUACUGAUUCUACUUCUAGGUCAGGGCUAUCCAACUGGAGGCCUGUGGCUGGAUGCGGCCCUCCAAAGAUAUUUAUGGCCCCCAAGUCUGCUUUAAGGCUCCAUAGACUUCACUGUAUGACAUUGUCAUUUUAAUGUAAUCCAGCCCUCUAACAUGUUCUAUGAAAAUUAUCGGCCCACUACUUGUGAUAAAUUAUUGUUAGUAUAGCACUGGUCACCAAUGAUAUAACAUCUAAAAGUAACUUGGGUAGCACACUGUCUUCUUUAGCUUAGUCACCAACUAUAGGUCUUGCUAGUUUUAUCUUGCAAAAUAACAUCAUUAUUGGGUACUGGGCACCAUCAAAUACAUGAAGGUUUUAACAUGAUAUUGUAACCAUAUACCCUUUGUUACAAUCCUGUAAUGGCCCUGAAUACUGCAAUUAUUAUGUAUUAGCAAUAGCUCUAUACCACUGCAAUCAGUGUUUGUUUUUUUCAUCAUCAAAAGAUCCCAGCAGACUGCUAAUUUUACUCUCUUACCUCCUACCAUGAAUAUGACAGACCUUAUAGCCUUACCCAGAAUGCAUCUAUCUUACAGAAUGUUAUAGUAGAGCCAUGGUGUUUUUACUAUGGGUACUAAUAUCCUUAUUUACUUUACUUACUCUCCCUCCCUCUCUGUGCCUUUCACACUCACCUUA